GUAANACACUGGAAACAGAUGCUAAUACCGGAUAACAACACUAGACGCAUGUCUAGAGUUUAAAAGAUGGUUCUGCUAUCACUCUUGGAUGGACCUGCGGUGCAUUAGCUAGUUGGUAAGGCAACGGCUUACCAAGGCAAUGAUGCAUAGCCGAGUUGAGAGACUGAUCGGCCACAUUGGGACUGAGACACGGCCCAAACUCCUACGGGAGGCAGCAGUG
rnacentral:rRNA from 1 species